rnacentral:rRNA from 1 species
UACGGAGGGUGCAAGCGUUAUCCGGAUUCACUGGGUUUAAAGGGUGCGUAGGUGGGCAAGUAAGUCAGUGGUGAAAUCUCCGGGCUUAACCCGGAAACUGCCAUUGAUACUAUUUGUCUUGAAUACUGUGGAGGUCAGCGGAAUAUGUCAUGUAGCGGUGAAAUGCUUAGAUAUGACAUAGAACACCAAUUGCGAAGGCAGCUA